GCCACUGUCUCCGCUCCCUCCCUCCGCAGCUUGACCCGGUAGUGAAGGCGGAGAGAGAGGCAGGCUGGGUCCGUCUGGCAGCCGACGAGAAGAGGCGGGAGCGGGAAAGGAGGGGAGCCGAGGCCCGGCGUGGGGAGGCCGGCAGGAAGGGCUUCGAGCCCGGUGCGGACCUUUUUUCAGCCUCCAAGCGGCCGCGCGGCUCCUUAGGCUGCUGCGCCGUGAGACGCGCCGACUUCCUCCAGACUAGCGCUCGGCGGGAGCAGAAAGAGCGAGACCUGGACUUGCGGCGCGCCCCCGUGACCGCGGCUUUGGCGGGAGCGCGGCGAGCCCCCUGGCGCGGGACCCUGCCGUGGGAAAGCCGAGCUGGAAGAAACCUUAAGAUAUCCUGGCCCGACCACUUCGUGCUCCAGAGAAGGAAAAGACGGCUCGGAGCGAGCUUGAACACCGCGGCAGAACCCGGGCUGGAACUCAGCUCGCAGGCCCACCACCAAGGCUCCUUUCCCUUCACCAAGUUUGCAGCCAGGAGGAGAGCCUAAAGCACAACUGAAGAGGCAGAAGCCAUCCUGCCUCUAUGAUUAGACAAGCAUGAAGAUAAAACCUUCCCUGUGAGGAUAAUGGGACAAAGUGAUAGAAGGGGCCUAGACUCCCUUCCUUUAGACUUCUUGUUAUCUGAGGAAAAUAAAAUGCUAUUACAAGUUUAA